UGAAAAGUGAUGUAUUUUUUACAGCUGGCAUCUUGGCUUGGACUAAAAGUCUUCCUUUUCCUGUUUUGUUCAGGGCUCUCAGAUCUGCUUUUUCUCAGUAUCUGGCGCUCUGAUUGCCACACAUUCUUUCGUAGCUGAAGAUCAGGAGCAGCGACGAGGGAGGCCGGGAACAGAGAACCGAGCAUCCUUUUGUGCCCCUAGGUCCAGCGGUAACGCUUUUUGGCCACCCCAACCGUGCGCCGUGCCGACCGGCGGGCGCACACUGCCGCCUCAGCGGAGAGCGAAGCCGCCGUCCCUCGCUCCGUGCCGGGGAGCAGCCGCCCGGCCCCGCCGCCGCGCCCCGCCCGGGUGUGGAGCGCACGGGCGCAGCUCAGCCGUGAGGGCGGGAGUGGGAGCGGGUCUCGCCGUGCGCUGCGGUGGUUCUGUCCGUGCCUCGGCCGCUUCCGCCCUGCGGUGCGGUUUCUUCCCCGGCUGGCGGCAGUAUGCCUGGGCCCCGACCAAUGUCUGUUAGAUGCCACAUAAAGAAGAUGAAGGAGCCUGUCCACAAAAAAGACUUGUUAGCCAGUGAAGGGAUGCUGCCUGGAGCAGAGAUGAGGUCAGGAAAGCCAAGACACAGCUGGAGUGUAAUUUGGCAAAGGAUUCAAAGAAUAAUGGUAAGGGUUUCUACAAGUGUGUUGAACAGAAAAGGAAAAUUAAAGAAAAUGCACACAUCACACCCUCCAUGCUCUCCUGGUAAGGAAGACAGGAAAAGUAAAGGCAACUGUCAUGGAGAAGGCUGAGAUACUCAGCAAUUUUUUCACUUCAGUUUUCAAUGGUAGUCUCUCUUCCUGCAUCUCUCAAGCCCCUACACCUCAAGACAGGGAGGUGCAGGGGAAUACGUAAUAGUAGCCGUCGAAAACAAAGAUCAGGUUUGGGACCACGCGAGGAACGUGAACAUGCAGCAGUCCAUGGGAUGCAAUCAGUUGCAUUCUUUGGUCCUGGGGGAAUUGGCUGAUGUAGUUGCCAGGCCAUUCUCAAUGAUACUUGAAAAGUCUUGGCACUCGGGCAAAAUCCCCAGUGACCGAAAAAAAGGAAACGUUACACACAUUUUUAAAAAGGGUAAAAACAAGGACCUUGGGAUCUGCUCCCUGGUCAGCCUCACCUUCGUGCCUGCUAAGAUCAUGGAGCAGAUCCCCCUGGAAGACAAGUGAAAACAUUUGGGAGACAGAGAAGCAGUUAAAGAUGGCCAAACAUGACUUCACCAAGGGCAAAUUGUGCAUGACUAAUCUAGUAGCCUUCUAUGGUGGAGUAGCUGCAUUAGCAAACCGAGGAAAAGCUGUGGAUGAUUGUUGGUGCCACAUUGGAGAGAUACGGGUUUGAUGAAUGGACUGUUAGCAGCCUGAUCUAGUGAAAGAUGUCCCUGCCAUAGCAGGUCCCUUCCAACUUUAACCAUUCUACCAUUCUGUGAUUUACUAUUACUGCAGACUUACACCCUGACAUCAAGACUGGCGCACUCUAUUUCCUAGGUGGUAAAAUAGUAAUAACAUGAGAACUCGUGUUCUGGAAAUGGGCUUUACAAUCACUGAGUACCUGAUCCAUCCCUGAUGCUGGUCAGUUCAAGCCUUGUGCAGAGUAUUAUUUCUGGUUGUAUGCUCUUUGUGUUCUUAUGAAAGUGCUUCCUAAAUGUAUUAGAAAUGCUUCUGGUAAGUGCUGUAGUUUCCUAAUUUUUUCCACAGUUUCCUUGCCGGUGUUACAUGUCAUAGCAAGGAAAGGCAGCUUCCUUACAUAUAGGUAGUACUGUGAGGCAAGGAAGAUACAUCCCUUUUGGCCAUCCAGUCUAAUUCAGAGAGUUUUACUUUUUUUUUUGUCUAAAAAUUGUGCCUCAGAGCCAUGCACAGAACAUUAUCUGAUUUCCCAUUCUUUUAACAAGAUUAUCUAUGUCUUUCAGUUCUGUCUUUUCUUCGAUGGGUGUACAGGACAGGACAGGACUGAUUAUUUUUCUUGUUUUAGUACCGAAUAGGCAUAUAGCCCCAAAGGUAACUAGAUGUCUUAUUUUCUUUGGUGUUAAUACGAAUUAAUACCUAAGCACCUUUGUGACUUGCUGAAAACAUCUGUGGUCUCUGUGCAAAUUCAGUUUGUCCUAAUCUUGCAGUGCGCUUGGCAGCUGUAUAUAAUUUCUACCUUUUAAAACCCAUCUAUAAUAUGCUUGCAGGAGUUUCUGGGGAGGUCUUAACUAGUAGAAUGUGAAAAAGAAAUCUUGGACUACAUCCAGUGGAAGUACCAAAAAUCAAAGGAUUGGAGUAAAUAAUUGCUUGUCUAGGUUCAUUACCUAAUGGCACAUUUUCGUAGCUGUUUAUGCACGGGCAUACUUGAGAUCCUUUGUGCUGUUAACUUAGAAUUUUAUUUGGUACAGCUAAGCAUAGAUUUGCUAGAGCACAACUGUGUACUUUGAAAUUGUUUUUACUGACUGCAGUAAUUUUUUUACGGGUAACGUUUCAGCUUCAAUCAAAGAAGUGUCCUGUGUGUCAGGAAGGUUAUCAUAGCAUUAUCCUGAAUCCAUGUCAACAUCACGUACUUUGAGAUUACUGUGCAGCUGCACAAGAAGAAUGUCCCUGCUGCAAGAAGAAAAAAAAAUUCUGGUUAGGGUUAGAAUUGUUGUUCCAACUGUGGUUGGAACUGAUCUAACGCUAUGUUUACUUGGAUGCUUGAAAAACCCUGAUGAAUGUAAAAUCACUUGUUAAUUAUUGUGUUUUGUUGGAAGAUAUGUCAUAAAAUGCUUCAAGUUGCUUUCUAGUCUCGUGGGGUUUUUUUAAUAUGCAAUAAUGUGAUGUAUUACUUGUGUACUGUGAAUUUAAGAUACUUCACACGGCUUUACUGUUAGAUCACAGCGUGGUUAAAUGGAAAUGACAUCUAGGUGGGUUUUUUUUUUUUUACAAUUUAUAAGUUAACUGCAUACUGUCGUAUUUAUAAAUGUACCAGGGAAACAAAACCAGUGGGACACAUAUGCUUUCAUAUUCAAAUACAUGCUCAUGUUUUCAAUUUUGUGAAAUGGAACAGUUUUAGUAAACAGCUGUAUAUUUGCAUAUUUCCCUCCACCUGGAUGCUUGUAGUCUUUUGUACAUCUAUGAAGCUGUGUGGUACUCAUAAGGAGUAGACAUGGUGUACAUGUAAUAUUACCAAGUGCCUAUGUCCAAUGUCCUAUAAAAGGACAGAAGACAUGAAAAAAAGAUUUGGCAAAUAAUUUUUAUUAUUUCCUUUUGUAUUUUGAAGAGUUUGACAGUAAUUAGAAUGUGUUUCCUGCUUUUUUAAAUAUUAAAAAAUACACUUUUUUCAAUAAUAAAUGCCCAUUUGAAAGGAA